rnacentral:rRNA from 1 species
GAUCAUGGCUCAGGACGAACGCUGGCGGCGUGCUUAACACAUGCAAGUCGAACGAAGAGCGAUGGAAGCUUGCUUCUAUCAAUCUUAGUGGCGAACGGGUGAGCAACGCGUAAUCAACCUGCCCUUCAGAGGGGGACAACAGUUGGAAACGACUGCUAAUACCGCAUACGAUCCAAUCUCGGCAUCGAGGAUGGAUGAAAGGUGGCCUCUAUUUAUAAGCUAUCACUGAAGG